rnacentral:rRNA from 1 species
GGGGAUUGUGUAUUGUUGCUCGUCGUAUACAUGCAGUCGAGCGGACAGAAGGGAGCUCUGCUCGCGAAGUGUACGGCGGACGUGUGAGUACACGUGGAACCUGCCUGUAGACUGGAUACUCCGGGGAAGCUGGAGCUAUACGGAUAGUUCCUUGACGCAUGUUCACUUGAAGACGUUUCGGCUGUCACUACAGAUGGACCCGCGCGCAUUAGCUAGUUGGUGGGGUAAUGGCUCACCAAGCGACGAUGCGUAGCCACCUGAGAGGUGAUCGCCACACUGGGGACUGGAGACACGGCCAGACUCCUACGGGAGGCAGCGUUGGAAUGAGUAAUGAAGGUUUUCGGAUCGUAAAGCUCUGUUGUUAGGGAAGAACAAGUGCAAGAGUAACUGCUCGCACUUUGACGGUACUAAACCAGAAAGCCACGGCUAACUACGUGCCAGCAGCCGCGGUAAUACGUAAGUUGCAAGCGUUGUCCGGAAAUAUGGGCGUAAAGGCUCGCAGCGGUUUCCUAAAGUCUGAUGUGAAAGCUCCGCUUCAACGGGAGGGUCAUUGGAAACUGGGAAACUUGAGUCCAGAAGAGGAGAGUGGAAUUCACGUGUAGCGGUGAAAUGCGUAAAGAUGUGGAGGAACACCAGUGGCGAAGCGACUCUCUGGUCUGUAACUGACGCUGAGGAGCGAACGUGGGGGAGCGACAGUAUUAGAUACCUGGUAGUCCACGCGUAACCCAUGAGUCCUAAGUGUUAGGGGUUCCGCCCUUAGUCCUGCAGCUAACGCAUAAGCACUCCGCUGGGAGUACGGCCGCAGAUUAAACUUAAAGAAUAACGGGGCCCCACAACCUGGACCAGUGGUAAAUCGAAGCACCGAAAGACCUAACAGGUUUGAAUCCUCUAAAACCUUAAGAAGGGUUUUCUUCGGGACAAAGUACAGGGGUGCUGGUUUUCGCCAGCUCGUGCGAGAGAUGUGGUUAAGUCCCGAACGGGGCACUCUUGUCUUAGUUCAUCCUUCGGUUGGCCUCUUAGUGAUUCCGGGACAACCGGAAAGGGGGGUUGAUUCAAUCACCAGCCCCUAUGACUGGUCACACCUGCUAAAUGACAAACAAAGGCCUCCAGACCGCAGGUUAGCAAUCCAAAAUUGUCUCAGUCGAACCGAUCUCCACUGCACCCGUAGUUGAAUCCUGAUAUCGGAUACACCUCGGGUAAACUCUCCCGCGCUUUACACCCGCGCCUACACCGAAGUUAAACCAGGGCGCGGAUACCUUUGGCCGCCGAAGUCAAUUGU